CCUACGGGUGGCAGCAGUGGGGAAUAUUGCGCAAUGGGCGAAAGCCUGACGCAGCGACGCCGCGUGAGGGAUGAAGGUCUUCGGAUCGUAAACCUCUGUUAGCAGGGAAGAACGGUCACUGUGCUAAUCAGCAGUGAAUUGACGGUACCUGCAAAGGAAGCACCGGCUAACUCCGUGCCAGCAGCCGCGGUAAUACGGAGGGUGCGAGCGUUAAUCGGAAUUACUGGGCGUAAAGCGCUCGUAGGCGGUAUGUCAAGUCAAGGGUGAAAUCCCCGGGCUCAACGUGGGAACUGCCUUUGAAACUGGCAAACUGGAGUGUGUGAGAGGAUAGUGGAAUUCCAGGUGUAGGGGUGAAAUGCGUAGAUAUCUGGAGGAACAUCAGUGGCGAAGGCGACUAUCUGGCACAUAACUGACGCUGAGGAGCGAAAGCGUGGGUAGCAAACAGGAUUAGAUACCCCAGUAGUC
rnacentral:rRNA from 1 species